rnacentral:tRNA from 1 species
GGGGGAUUAGCUCAGUUGGGAGAGCGUUUGGAUGGCAUCCAAAAGGUCAGGGGUUCGAGCCCCCUAUCCUCCA